GUGCGGGUCCGUGGCUUCAUUCUUGAAGUCAGUGAGACCAAGAACCCACCAAUUCUGGACACAAUAUCUUUGUGGAGCUGGGUUUGGAAUUUGAGGAGGUGAGAAACACCCUCCUCUCACCCUGGCGUAUAUAGAUCUGGUGGAGAAGAAUGCUGAUUGCACAGGCAGUGAGGACUAGAAAGCUGAGCUGUAGCACCAAGCAGACAAAUAGCGAAGCUAUUCCUAAUGUGGCACUGCCAUUCCUUAGCCCAUUCCAGACAGAGCAGAAAAGAGAAAAGAAGAAAUAAAGCAAAAGAAACAAGAGGGAGUAAAAGAAGCUCCCAUGGUUUUUCUCUGAGAAUUUCACUGGGGAUCUAAUUUUAAAGACGUGAAGAUUGAAGAAAGAAUACAUAAUUUCAACCAUUUUGUUAAAUGAAAUUUGUUGGCUCUAUAAAAACGCUUCUGUUUUGGUGAUGUCCUCCAGUUUUCCCUGGUUUUCCUCAUGAAGAAUAAUAAUUCUGUUCUGUCCUCUCCA